rnacentral:misc_RNA from 1 species
AACCAUAGAAACCUGCGGAGUACCUGCGGAGGGAUCAUUACCGAGUGAGGGUCCUCGUGGCCCAACCUCCCACCCGUGACUACUGUACCACUGUUGCUUCGGCGGGCCCGCCAGCGUCCGCUGGCCGCCGGGGGGCUUCUGCCCCCGGGCCCGUGCCCGCCGGAGACCCCAACACGAACACUGUUUCUGAAAGCCUGUAUGAAUCCGAUUCUUUGUAAUCAGUUAAAACUUUCAACAAUG